rnacentral:lncRNA from 1 species
GCGGAAGAAGGAACAUCUCCUUUGUCUUUCUGAGAUUCCCUUCUCUAGAAAUUGUCAAUCGGGAGAAUCUGCAUUCUCAAGGUCAAGCUCUGGAAUUCCAUUAGACAGCAGGGAGCCAGAAGAGCAGGCUGAGGAGUCAAAUCGAGAAAUGGAAAGAAACAAGCCAGGAGAAGUCUUACGAUUCUGCUUCUACAGCCUGCAAAGAGCCAAAGCCGAGGUGCUGCACGGCCCUGAGCUACACCUCUGCUCUCACCUUCAUCACCCUACCAGGCUCCUCGGGUGGCUUCUUCCCAC